rnacentral:lncRNA from 1 species
UUGGAAAUGUGAACAAAAAUAAAAAUAAAGUUGGCAUGGGUUUGGAGUGGGUGUUAAAAAGUGAAAGAUGGGAAAAAUUUGUAGAGGCAUGGAGAUAUAAACGCAUAUAUGGGUAUAUAGAAUAGGACUUGUGUGCUAAUAUAAAUACGGAAGUCUUGGUGCUCCUAAGUCGUUUUGAGUGAUGGGACUUUCAAAUCGACGAUCAGCUCCGUUAGACUUGAUCUAGUGUAUUUGAAGUAUUUAGAAAAUAAUUUUUGCGAAUUUUCGAAAACAUUUACGUAUUGAUCGGAAAGAUUCAAAAUCAAUAAUUUUUAAUGGUUGAUGUAUGCUAUUUGCAAGUUUUAUGGUAUAUAAGUAUUCAAAUCAGAUAAAAUUUUGAUAGAAAAUUCUUUAUACUAUAUACAACAAGAUUGAUAUCUCUAAUAAAAAAUUUUAGUACUACAUCAUAAUUUUUUAUGAGAUUUUUAUUUUGAAUUUUUUAUUUUGAAUCAUUUUAAUUACUAGAUAAAUAAUAUCGUAAAAUCUCAAAAUUUACUUUCUAGAUAGUUCAAAUAUGUUAAAUCAAAUCUAGGGGAGUCGAUUGUU